UAUUCCACUGCGCGUCGUGGUCUUUCCCUUGCUGGUUGGAUGACUACUAUGGACGAAGAGCACAAUUACUUCCAGUCUCUGGUCGAUAAGUACCCAAGGAAGAGUUGCAGUGGGUAAAUCUUAAUGGCUGGCAGAAAAUUGGUUCGGGAUAUAUUACUCUCAAGACAAAGUAUUUUUUAUCAGUUUACUUCCCAUGGGGUAUUUGCUCUUCCUAUGCUU